AUUGAACGCUGGCGGCAGGCUUAACACAUGCAAGUCUAGCGAGUGGCGGACUGGUGAGUAAUGUCUGGGAAACUGCCUGAUGGAGGGGGCUAACUACUGUAAACGGUCGCUAAUACCGCAUACCAUCGGAUGUUCCCAGAUGGGUUGAGCUAGUAGGUGGGGUAAAGGAUCACCUAGGCGUCGAUCCCUAGCUGGUCUUAGAGGAUGACCAGCCAAACUGGAAAUGAGACACGGUCCAGACUCCUACGGGAGGGAGCAGUGGGGAAUAGUGCACAAUGGGCGCAAGCCUGAUGCAGCCAUGCGGCGUGUAUGAAGAAGGCGUCCGGGUUGUAAAGUACGUUCAGCGGGGAGGCGUUACUCGCAGAAGAAGCACCGGCUAACUCCGUGCCAGCCGCCGCGGUAAUAC
rnacentral:rRNA from 1 species